AGUCCGCAACGAGCGCAACCCUUGUCAUUAGUUGCUACCAAAGGGCACUCUAAUGAGACUGCAGGGGACAAACCGGAGGAAGGGGGGGAGGAGGUCAAGUCCUCAUGGCCCUUACCUGUGGGGCUACACACCUCAUACAAUGGAUGGUACAAAGGGUUGCCAACCCGCGAGGGGGAGCGAAUCCCAUAAAGCCAAUCCUAGUCCGGAUCGCAUUCUGCAACUCGACUGCGUGAAGUCGGAAUCGCUACUAAUCGAGUAUCAGCAUGUCACGGUGAAUACGUUCCCGGGUC
rnacentral:rRNA from 1 species